rnacentral:rRNA from 1 species
UAGGGAAUCUUCGGCAAUGGACGAAAGUCUGACCGAGCAACGCCGCGUGAGUGAAGAAGGUUUUCGGAUCGUAAAACUCUGUUGUUAGAGAAGAACAAGGACGUUAGUAACUGAACGUCCCCUGACGGUAUCUAACCAGAAAGCCACGGCUAACUACGUGCCAGCAGCCGCGGUAAUACGUAGGUGGCAAGCGUUGUCCGGAUUUAUUGGGCGUAAAGCGAGCGCAGGCGGUUUCUUAAGUCUGAUGUGAAAGCCCCCGGCUCAACCGGGGAGGGUCAUUGGAAACUGGGAGACUUGAGUGCAGAAGAGGAGAGUGGAAUUCCAUGUGUAGCGGUGAAAGGCGUAGAUAUAUGGAGGAACACCAGUGGCGAAGGCGGCUCUCUGGUCUGUAACUGACGCUGAGGCUCGAAGGCGUGGGGAGCAAACAGG